UAAUGUUAGGAGUUAGUGAUUAAUUAAUUGUGUUAGGAUAAUUUAGCACUAUGCAAAGCAAUUGUAAGUAGGCUUAUGUAGAAGUCAUACUUAUCUGAGGCCGGCCAAUAACAAUGUAUGUGUCAGACAUGUUAGAGAAUUAACACAAAGUUAAUCUCCUACAACAUGUAACACAAUGAUCAAAGAAGAGAAGAGAUGAAGAUAUAAAGAGUGAAUAGGAGAGUUAAGGGAAUCACAUAGGGAUCAAUAUAUCCACAAAUCAAAUGACUCAAAAU
rnacentral:lncRNA from 1 species